rnacentral:rRNA from 1 species
GACGAACGCUGGCGGCGUGCUUAACACAUGCAAGUCGAACGGUAAGGCCCUUCGGGGUACACGAGUGGCGAACGGGUGAGUAACACGUGGGUGAUCUGCCCUGCACUUCGGGAUAAGCCUGGGCAACUGGGUCUAAUACCGGAUAGCACCACUGCUGGAAUGGGCGGGGGUGGAAAGCUUUUGCGGUGUUGGAUGGGCCGGCGGCUGAUCAGCUUGUUGGUGGGGGGCCGGCCUACCAAGUGGACGACGGGUAGCCGGCCUGAGAGGGUGACCGGCCACACUGGGACUGAGAUACGGCCCAGACUCCUACGGGAGGCAGCAGUGGGGAAUAUUGCACAAUGGGCGCAAGCCUGAUGCAGCGACGCCGCGUGAGGGAUGACGGCCUUCGGGUUGUAAACCUCUUUCAGCACCGACGAAGCGCAAGUGACGGUAGGUGCAGAAGAAGGACCGGCCAACUACGUGCCAGCCGCCGCCGUAA